rnacentral:rRNA from 1 species
GAUGAACGCUGGCGGCGUGCCUAAUACAUGCAAGUCGAGCGAACAGACGAGGAGCUUGCUCCUCUGACGUUAGCGGCGGACGGGUGAGUAACACGUGGAUAACCUACCUAUAAGACUGGGAUAACUUCGGGAAACCGGAGCUAAUACCGGAUAAUAUAUUGAACCGCAUGGUUCAAUAGUGAAAGACGGUUUUGCUGUCACUUAUAGAUGGAUCCGCGCCGCUUAGCUAGUUGGUAAGGUAACGGCUUACCAAGGCAACGAUGCGUAGCCGACCUGAGAGGGUGAUCGGCCACACUGGAACUGAGACACGGUCCAGACUCCUACGGGAGGCAGCAGUAGGGAAUCUUCCGCAAUGGGCGAAAGCCUGACGGAGCAACGCCGCGUGAGUGAUGAAGGUCUUCGGAUCGUAAAACUCUGUUAUUAGGGAAGAACAAAUGUGUAAGUAACUAUGCACGUCUUGACGGUACCUAAUCAGAAAGCCACGGCUAACUACGUG